rnacentral:rRNA from 1 species
UGUUUUUCGGGCGUUUUUUUUUUGGAAGGUAAAAGUCGUAACAAGGUUU